AUCGAACGCUGGCGGCGUGGCUAAGACAUGCAAGUCGCACGGUACGUGUAGCAAUAUGCGUAUAGUGGCGGAAGGGUGAGUAAUGCAUGGGUAAUGUACCUUGGACACCGGAAUAACAACUCGAAAGGGUUGCUAAUACCGGAUGAAGUCGCAGAGAGGCAUCUCUUGGCGACCAAAGGGCGGGGACCGCAAGGCCCGCUUGUCUGAGAUCAGCCCAUGUCCUAUCAGCUAGUUGGCGGGGUAACGGCCCACCAAGGCAAUGACGGGUAGCCGGACUGAGAGGUUGGACGGCCACAUCGGGACUGAGACACUGCCCGGACACCUACGGGUGGCUGCAGUAACGAAUAUUGGGCAAUGGGCGAAAGCCUGACCCAGCGACGCCGCGUGUGGGAGGAAGUCC
rnacentral:rRNA from 1 species